rnacentral:rRNA from 1 species
CCUACGGGGGGGGCWGCAGUAGGGAAUCUUCCGCAAUGGGCGAAAGCCUGACGGAGCAAUGCCGCGUGAGUGAUGAAGGUUUUCGGAUCGUAAAGCUCUGUUGCCAGGGAAGAACGCUUGGGAGAGUAACUGCUCUCAAGGUGACGGUACCUGAGAAGAAAGCCCCGGCUAACUACGUGCCAGCAGCCGCGGUAAUACGUAGGGGGCAAGCGUUGUCCGGAAUUAUUGGGCGUAAAGCGCGCGCAGGCGGUCAUUUAAGUCUGGUGUUUAAUCCCGGGGCUCAACCCCGGAUCGCACUGGAAACUGGGUGACUUGAGUGCAGAAGAGGAGAGUGGAAUUCCACGUGUAGCGGUGAAAUGCGUAGAUAUGUGGAGGAACACCAGUGGCGAAGGCGACUCUCUGGGCUGUAACUGACGCUGAGGCGCGAAAGCGUGGGGAGCAAACAGGAUUAGAUACCCC